rnacentral:rRNA from 1 species
CAGAGACCUCAAGCGUUAUCCGGAAUCAUUGGGCGUAAAGCGUUCGAUAGGUGGUUUUGAUAGUUUUGGGUAAAAGCCAGAAGCUCAACUUCUGCGUUUGCUCAAAAUACUUCAAGACUAGAGGGACAAAGAGGUGGCUGGAACGAAUGGUGUAGUAGUGAAAUGCGUUGAUAUCAUUCGGAACACCGAAAGCGAAGGCAGGCCACUGGGUGUCACCUGACACUGCUAGGACGAAAGCGUGGGGAGCGAAUGGGAUUAGAUACCCCAGUAGUCCACGCUGUAAACGAUGAAUACUAGGUAUUUGCGAGUAUCGACCCUCGUAUGUACCGUAGCUAACGCGUUAAAUAUUCCGCCUGGGGAGUACGGUCGCAAGACUA